CUAAAUAAGGAAUACUUGGGAUCAGAGACUCAAACAUGUCUUCUAUGACUGUGGUCAAAUCAUGGUAUUUCUCAUCAGAAAAUCAAAAUAUGUUACUGCUACUUUCAAGUUCAGGAGGUCAAGUUUCAAACAUGGAAGUGAGAGGUGAAGCCACUGGGCUUCUGGGUUGGUGGAGACUUGGAGAACUUUUCUGUCUAGCUAAAGGAUUGUAAACACACCAAUCAGUGCUCUGUGUCUAGCUAAAGGUUUGUAAACGCACCAAUCAGCACUCUGUAAAAAUGCACCAAUCAGUGCUCUGUGUCUAGCUAAAGAUUUGUAAACGCAGCAAUCAGCACUCUGUAAAAAUGGACUAAUCAGCACUCUGUAAAAUGGACCAAUCAGCAGGACGUGGGUGGGGCCAAAUAAGGGAAUAAAAGCUGGCCACCCGAGCCAGCAGCAGCAACCUGUGGGUCCCCUUCCAGGCUGUGGAAGCUUUCUUUUUU
rnacentral:lncRNA from 1 species